UACGGAGGGGGCUAGCGUUGUUCGGAAUUACUGGGCGUAAAGCGCACGUAGGCGGACCAUCAAGUUGGGGGUGAAAUCCCGGGGCUCAACCCCGGAACUGCCUUCAAAACUGUUGGUCUGGAGGUCGAGAGAGGUGAGUGGAAUUCCGAGUGUAGAGGUGAAAUUCGUAGAUAUUCGGAGGAACACCAGUGGCGAAGGCGGCUCACUGGCUCGAUACUGACGCUGAGGUGCGAAAACGUGGGGAGCAAACAGG
rnacentral:rRNA from 1 species